CAGUCGCCGCGGUAAUACGAAGGGUGCAAGCGUUAAUCGGAAUUACUGGGCGUAAAGCGCACGUAGGCGGCUUGGUAAGUUAGAGGUGAAAGCCUGGAGCUCAACUCCAGAAUUGCCUUUAAGACUGCCGAGCUAGCAGGUGAGAGAGGUAAGUGGAAUUCCGAGUGUAGAGGUGAAAUUCGUAGAUAUUCGGAAGAACACCAGUGGCGAAGGCGGCUUACUGGCUCAUACUGGACGCUGAGGUGCGAAAGCGUGGGGAGCAAACAGGAUUAGAUACCCCAGUAGUCCCUGUCUCUUAUAC
rnacentral:rRNA from 1 species